GACGAACGCUGGCGGCGUGCUUAACACAUGCAAGUCGAACGGAAAGGCCCUGCUUUUGUGGGGUGCUCGAGUGGCGAACGGGUGAGUAACACGUGAGUAACCUGCCCUUGACUUUGGGAUAACUUCAGGAAACUGGGGCUAAUACCGGAUAUGAGCUCCUGCUGCAUGGUGUGGGUUGGUAAGUUUCGGCGGUUGGGGCUGGACUCGCGGCUUAUCAGCUUGUUGGUGGGGUAGUGGCUUACCAAGGCUUUGACGGGUAGCCGGCCUGAGAGGGUGACCGGCCACAUUGGGACUGAGAUACGGCCCAGACGCCUACGGGAGGCAGCAGUGGAGAAUAUUGCACAAUGGGCGGAAGCCUGAUGCAGCAACGCCGCGUGCGGGAUGACGGCCUUCGGGUUGUAAACCGCUUUCGCCUGUGACGAAGCGUGAGUGACGGUAAUGGGUAAAGAAGCACCGGCUAACUACGUG
rnacentral:rRNA from 1 species